rnacentral:rRNA from 1 species
AUCCAAUUAUCCAGCAACUUCUGGCUAAUCCCGGAUGAUCCGAAAGGCAAAAGAUUUAUCGCCGGUCUAUGAGCUCGCGUCUGAUUAGCUAGUUGGUGAGGUAAAGGCUCACCAAGGCGACUAUCAAUAGCUGGUCUGAUAGGAUGAUCAGCCACACUGGGACUGAGACACGGCCCAAACUCCUACGGGAGGCAGCAGUGGGGAAUUUUCCGCAAUGGGCGCAAGCCUGACGGAGCAAGACCGCGGGGGGGAGGAAGGCUCUUGGGUUGUAAACCCCUUUUCUCAAGGAAGAACACAAUGACGGUACUUGAGGAAUAAGCCUCGGCUAACUCCGUGCCAGCAGCCGCGGUAAUACGGAGGAGGCAAGCGUUAUCCUUAAUGAUUGGGCGUAAAGCGUCCGUAGGUGGCUGUUCAAGUCUGCUGUCAAAGACAGUGGCUUAACUACUGAAAGGCAGUGGAAACUGAACAGCUAGAGUACGGUAGGGGCAGAGGGAAUUCCCGGUGUAGCGGUGAAAUGCGUAGAUAUCGGGAAGAACACCGGUGGCGAAUGCGCUCUGCUGGGCCGUAACUGACACUGAGGGACGAAAGCUAGGGGAGCGAAUGGGAUUAGAUACCCCAGUAUUCCUAGCCGUAAACGAUGGAUACUAGGUGUAGCCUGUAUCGACCCGGGCUGUGCCGAAGCUAACGCGUUAUGUUUUCCCGCCUGGGGAGUACGCACGCAAGUGUGAAACUCAAAGGAAUUUGACGGGGGCCCGCACAAGCGUUGGAGUAUGUGGUUUUAAUUCGAUGCAUCGCGAAGAACCUUACCAUGUCUUUGUCAUGUCCGUAAUCUUGGUGAAUCCAGAUAGUGCCUUCCGGAGCCUGAACACAGGAGGUGCAUGGCUGUCGUCUCCUCGUGUUAUGAGAUGUUGGUUUAGUCCCGCCACGAGCGCACCCUCGUCUUUAUUGGCUUCAUUCAGUUGGGUACUUAGGGAGACCUGCCGGUGAAAACCGAAG